CCUACGGGUGGCAGCAGUAGGGAAUCUUCCACAAUGGACGAAAGUCUGAUGGAGCAACGCCGCGUGAGUGAAGAAGGGUUUCGGCGCGUAAAGCUCUGAUGGGAGGGAAGAAAGAUAGAGGAAGUAACUGGCCUGUAGUUGACGGUAAUUACGUAGAAAGGCACGGCUAACUACGUGCCAGCAGCCGCGGUAAUACGUAGGUGGCAAGCGUUGUCCGGAUUUAUUGGGCGGAAAGCGAGUGCAGGCGGGUCAAUAAGUCUGAGGUGAAAGCCUUCGGCUCAACCGGCGAAUUGCAUCCGAAUCUGUUGAACUUGAGUGCAGAAGUGGCGCGUGGAACUCCAUGUGUAGCUGUGG
rnacentral:rRNA from 1 species